rnacentral:rRNA from 1 species
UGGGCAACCUGCCCCUGACACUGGGAUAACCCCGGGAAACCGGAGCUAAUACCGGAUACUCUCGGCCGAUCACAUGGCUGGCCGAGGAAAGGUCCGCCGGUCAGGGAUGGGCCCGCGGCCUAUCAGCUUGUUGGUGAGGUAACGGCCCACCAAGGCGACGACGGGUAGCCGGCCUGAGAGGGCGACCGGCCACACUGGGACUGAGACACGGCCCAGACUCCUACGGGAGGCA